UGGAGUGACGGGUACACUGUGGGGACCGCCGGCUGGCGUAAAGCGGAGGAAGGAAUGGGCAACGGUAGGUCCAGUAUGCCCCGAAUAUCCCGGGCUACACGCGAGCUACAAUGGUUGGUACAAUCGGGUAUCGUACCCCGAAAGGGGACGGGAAUCUCCUAAAACCAAUCUUAGUUCGGAUUGAGGGCUGCAACUCGCCCUCAUGAAGCUGGAAUCCGUAGUAAUCGCGUUUCAACAGAACGCGGUGAAUACGUCCCUGCUCCUUG
rnacentral:rRNA from 1 species